UUUUUUUUCCCCCCCCCAGGCUACCAACUGAUCCCUCUCGUGUCUGCAGUAACCCGAAUGUAGUCUAGUAAGGUUUGCUCAAGUGAGAUGGAAGACAAAGAGGUAGGCUCCAAAACAGACUUGCGGUAAGUGUUUUGUAUGGCUUGGGGUUUCUAGCAUGUCAUCUGUUUUUCUGUGUAACCUAUGUGGUUCAGUACCUAAUAUGAAGGUUUCUUCUUUCCUUCUAGUAUUGGAGACUUAUCCACCACAUGGUGAUGCUUUCCUGACCUCCUUGAUUGCAGUGUGGGAUGUGCCCUGAUCCUUGGAAAGGGGUGAGUGAUUCCUGCAUCCUCACUAGAAGGUAAUCUCUACUUACCUUUUCUUGUGUCCAUCAGGUGGCACUGGAGAGUUGUGACCCUGCUGAGCAGUGCAAGGACUCUACUGAGGCUCUUGGUGGACACAGCAAGAACCCACACCCGUAGAUGGAUGCCAAUAUCUAUUCCUUCCUCUGUCUGGCAAGCUCUGGUGUCCCCUGAGGUCAUUCCCAUGCUUGCAGAGGUCCUAUGGACUUGUUGGUUGUCACUUGUGCUCACUGGGCUUUCCAAGGGUGUUCCUCUUGCUUGACACCACCUUUCCCACUCUCUAUUUCCAAGCAGGAGCUCCCCUUGGCCUCCGUGUCUCGCUCUGGCCAGGCAGAUGUGGUGUGCCAACGGAUCAAAGCCUUCAGAAUUCAACCAAAAGAAAUGAGGAGAGAGGCUGCCGUGGGUGAGACAGGAGAAGUGCCCCUUGAAGCGGGGGACGCCCUGCUGGCACUGCCUCUCGCAUCCAUCGGCAGCACGUUCCUUCUCUCUCCUUGCCUCCUGGCGCUUUGCCGUCUCCCACGGCUCACCAGGUCCGAAUGUUCCCUGAUGGAGUCCAACUCCAGCUUGACCAUCACUCACCCCAUCUGUCCCCGCAGCAGCUGGCUUAGGGCUCUCCAGUACUGCUGGAUGUCAGAGCCUUCUGUUGCUCCCUGCCAACAUGGUGGUCUUCAUUCUUUUUAGGUUCAGUAACGUGUCUUCUUGUUAUACAGUGUUACUCUUCUCUGUUUUCUUGUGUUUCAUGUUGCCUGUCAAUGCCUCUCUGGAGAUACACUGAGUGAAAUGUAAACUGAUGUUCUUUGACCGUGUGUGAUGGAAAAUGAAGAUGUAGGCUCCACUCCAGCUAUCGUAUCCACUGUCCUAGUCGAAGCGGGAAGGACCAUUUUGACUAUUUGUCAACGCCCACAUGGCAAUCUGAAUUUAGGAGCUGCUUUCACAGACGUGUCGCUGCAGGGCAAAGAAGGCCUCAAAACUUCAGCGGACCUGUACCCCCAAGAGAGCUCUGAAACUUACAUUAAGAAAAUGUCUUAAUAUUU